CUGCGACCGGGUUCAAGUAAUCCAGGAUAGGCUGUGUGCAAUCUUAAUGGCCUAUCCUUGAUUACUUGCACUGGGACGUAG
rfam:Ophiophagus hannah scaffold2705.1, whole genome shotgun sequence.